ACUGACACGCUGUCCUUUCCCUAUUAACACUAAAGGACACUAGAAGAGACCCUUUCGAUUUAAGGCUGUUUUGCUUGUCCAGCCUAUUCUUUUUACUGGCUUGGGUCUGUCGCGGUGCCUGAAGCUGUCCCCGAGCCACGCUUCCUGCUUUCCCGGGCUUGCUGCUUGCGUGCGCUUGCUGUGGGCAGCUUGUGACAACUGGGCGCUGUGACUUUGCUGCGUGUCAGACGUUUUUCCCGAUUUCCCCGAGGUGUUGUCACACCUGUCCCGGUUGGAAUGGUGGAGCCAGCUGUGGUUGAGGGCCACCUAUUUCGGCUCACUUUUUUUUUUUUCUCUUGGAGUCCCGAACCUCCGCUCUUUUCUCUUCCCGGUCUUUCUUCCAUAUGCCUCCCGAGUGCAUUUCUUUUUUUUUUUUUUGUUUUUUUUUUUUUUUGGGGGAGGUGGAGACCCCGAGUACUUCUCCUGUCUGCGGUGUCCAAGUGUUCAUGCCACGUGCCUCCCGAGUGCACUUUUUUUGUGGCAGUCGCUCGUUCUGUUCUCUUGUUCUGUGUCUGCCCGUAUCCGUAACUGUCUUGCCCCGCGUGUAAGACAUUCCUAUCUCGCUUGUUUCUCCCGAUUGCGCGUCGUUGCUCACUCUUAGAUCGAUGUGGUGCUCCGGAGUUCUCUUCGGGCCAGGGCCUAAGCCGCGCCAGGCGAGGGACGGACAUUCAUGGCGAAUGGCGGCCGCUCUUCUCGUUCUGCCAGCGGGCCCCUCGUCUCUCCACCCCAUCCGUCUGCCGGUGGUGUGUGGAAGGCAGGGGUGCGGCUCUCCGGCCCGAGCGCUGCCCCGCGCGCACUUUUCUCAGUGGUUCGCGUGGUCCUUGUGGAUGUGUGAGGCGCCCGGUUGUGCCCUCACGUGUUUCACUUUGGUCGUGUCUCGCUUGACCAUGUUCCCAGAGUUGGUGGAUGUGGCCGGUGGCGUUGCAUACCCUUCCCGUCUGGUGUGUGCACGCGCUGUUUCUUGUAAGCCUCGAGGUGCUCCUGGAGCGUUCCAGGUUUGUCUCCUAGGUGCCUGCUUCUGAGCUGGUGGUGGCGCUUCCCAUUCCCUGGUGUGCCUCCGGUGCUCCGUCUGGCUGUGUGCCUUCCCGUUUGUGUCCGAGAAGCCCGUGAGAGGGGGGUCGAGGAGAGAAGGAGGGGCAAGAGCCCCCUUCUUCGUCGGGUGAGCGCCCACCCCGCGCACUAGUACGCCUGUGCGUAGGGCUGGUGCUGAGCGGUCGCGGCUGGCCUUGGAAAGUUUCUCGAGACUCAUUGCUUUCCCGUGGGGAGCUUUGAGAGGCCUGGCUUUCGGGGGGGACCGGUUGCAGGGUCUCCCCUGUCCGCGGAUGCUCAGAAUGCCCUUGGAAGAGAACCUUCCUGUUGCCGCAGACCCCCCCGCGCGGUCGCCCGCGUGUUGGUCUUCUGGUUUCCCUGUGUGCUCGUUGCAUGCAUCCUCCCUCGGUUGCCGGGGCUCGUCGGGGUUUUGGGUCCGUCCCGCCCUCAGUGAGAAAGUUUCCUUCUCUAGCUAUCUUCUGGAAAGGGUGCGGGCUUCUUACGGUCUCGAGGGGUCUCUCCCGAAUGGUCCCCUCGAGGGCUCGCCCCCUGACCGCCUCCCGCGCGCGCAGCGUUUGCUCUCUCGUCUACCGCGGCCCGCGCCUCCCCGCUCCGAGUUCGGGGAGGGAUCACGCGGGGCAGAGCCUGUCUGUCGUCCUGCCGUUGCUGCGGAGCCAUGUGGCUCCGGUUGUGUGGUGGUGGCUGGGGAAAGGGCUCCGUGCACACCCCCGCGUGCGCGGUACUUUCCUCCCCUCCUGAGGGCCGCCGUGCGGGACGGGGUGUGGGUAGGCGACGGUGGGCUCCUGGGUCCCCACCCGUCUUCCCGUGCCUCACCCGUGCCUUCCGUCGCGUGCGUCCCUCUCGCUCGCGUCCACGACUUUGGCCGCUCCCGCGCCGCGGGCCUGCACCGCGCGUGGUGCGUGCUGUGUGCU
rnacentral:misc_RNA from 1 species